rnacentral:tRNA from 1 species
GCCGGGGUGGCGGAAUGGUAGACGCAGUGGAUUCAAAAUCCACCGGGGGCAACUCCGUGGGAGUUCGAGUCUCCCCUUCGGCACCA